rnacentral:rRNA from 1 species
AUUGAACGCUGGCGGAAUGCUUUACACAUGCAAGUCGAGCGGCAGCGCGGGGCAACCUGGCGGCGAGCGGCGAACGGGUGAGUAAUGUAUCGGAACGUGUCCUUGAGUGGGGGAUAGCCCGGUGAAAACCGGAUUAAUACCGCAUACGCAGGAGACUGGAAAGCGGGGGAUCGCAAGACCUCGCGCUCUAGGAGCGGCCGAUAUCCGAUUAGUUUGUUGGUGAGGUAAAGGCUACCAAGGCGAUGAUCGGUAGCUGGUCUGAGAGGAUGACCAGCCACACUGGGACUGAGACACGGCCCAGACUCCUACGGGAGGCAGCAGUGGGGAAUUUUGGACAAUGGGCGCAAGCCUGAUCCAGCAAUGCCGCGUGCAGGAUGAAGGCC